GGCAGAAGCGACAUGACAGAGCUGACUAGACUUUGAAGAUCUCUAGUUCCCCGGACCUCCCACCCCACGCCCCACUUAUUGCCUUUAACUACCCCUCCUCAGCCCCACUUUUAAAUCUUGGCAAAUUCCGGGGCUGGAGCAAGGAAAUCUCCUGAAUAUGUAGCUGCAUUUUAGGGGAUCAAACGUUACAGGGAACGAAGGCUUCUUGCGCAGCCUGCUUUAGUCCAUCCAACUCAAUGAAAAAAGAAAGAAAAGAAAAGAGCUAAUUCCGGGACUGCCCAGUUCGCUUUCCCCUUAGGUCCGAGGCCAGGAGCUUGCAGCAAACGGCCGAAGGUGAGACAAGUGGGUGCAGGGUCCCUGGAGCUCUUCCUAUCUCAUGGGGCGACUUGGGAGGUGCAGCGGGCCGAUAGCAUUAGUCGGUCCUCGGGGUUUGGAGGAAGGCCGGCGAAUAAGGACCGGCGUCACCCUCCAGGAAGGGCACCACCGGCGAUUCAGUAGUCUGGAGACGGGGUUGUCUCAACCCAGACCCAAAAACCCCGACUUAACUGAAGGGAUGGAGGCAGGACCCCGGGGAAGGUGACUGCAGUGCACUUGGAAGCCGAGGGUUGAGUAACCCGUCCGACGGGCAGGCGCGGCGUCCGGUUACCAUGGUAGUCGUGGGCGGAGCCGGCGAGCUCCACCGCGCGGGGAGACUGCGGUCCAGUGAAGCCAAGUCACCUGCGGAGCUGGGCGAGGAGCAGGUGCAGCCUCCCUGCAAUGCGCCAGUUCCGAGCGCUCCAGGCUCGGGAGCCUGAGACCCAGGGUGACAGCCACACCCUGCAGCAGCCACCUCAGCUUCGGCCGUGCUUCCUGUUCCUCUGCGGAAUCCGGGUUGGGUGGCCACUCGGUCCCCAACACCUGUUGGGACGUAGAAGAGGGGCUGGACACGCGUAAGGUUUGAAAAGACUCUUUCACCGACUCAGUUGUAUCGUGUGAAAUCGAUACAUCCAGAACGAGCUGUAUAACUCUGGGCGAAGGAAGCGAUCAUACCUUAUUUUUAAAGACGAUUUCCACUGUCGUUACAACCUUGAGGUUUGUACAAAGAGGAUGGGCGAGGCAGCCAUGUGUUGUCUGUGAUCUUAUGCAGGAAUGGAUGGUGAGAGGCGAUGGUGGAAGAUCACAUCACCAAAUUAAGGUCUUGCUAAGUUGCCGUGGCUGGCCUUGAACUCGUGAUCCUCAACCUCCCAAAUCACCAGGAUUAAAGAUGUUCAUGCACCACUGUGCUGGGCUUCCUUCAAACCCUUCUUGGUUUUCCUCAACAAAUUUAAUUGUGUUUCUCCCUUUCAUCUGUUACUACUUGUACUUUCUGAUAAGGAGAACAGCUGCACUUAACUGCAUUGUUGAUUUUUAAAAUGUACUUUAGUUUUUGUUAACCUAUAAUUGUACAUGUUAUGCAUUGUUGGUUUUUCUAAACAGACUUUUUCAGACUUAAUCAGCUGCCCUGGAGUCUACAUUAACUGAACUUUUUGGUUUGGAAAUUAUUUCAUCCUGUGUCUUCAAUGAAAUGAUCCUUUAUUAAAAUAAGCGAGUAUUUAAUAAUUUGUUUAUUUCUUUAUUAGUUUUUUCUGAGAUCAAAGAACCCAGAAAAGUUGUCUUAGAGAUGUAAUUUUUCUGGAUAACAAUGAUUUAAUGUGUAUUUCUGGCUUUGGCAAAAAUCAAAUAAUCCACUCUACAACAACACAUUGCUUUAAUUAAAUUUUAUUUUUCUCUGGAUAUGAUACACAUUGCAGAAACACAAUCAAUGAGCACUGACAGUUUGUUUAAAUGUUGUUCUUUGUCCUAUUAUACAAUUUGUUGUGUCAGUGGCUCUCAAGUGGUAGGCUCCUGCAGUUCAUCAUCUGAAACUCCUUCCACACAUGCUGAAAAUCUCAUUAAUUUGUAUGUUUUAUUCUUUAUACCUAAGUAUAUAUGCUUAUGACUGGAAGAGAAAAUGCCCCACUUUUCAUCUCAGAGAAUUAUUUGGCCAUGAGAAUAACUGAUUCAUGCCCUCCCCCUUCCACCCCUAGUACUUAAGUAGAGAUUAUUGGAGAAAUUUAUGCCUUAUAAAUCUAGCUGAUAUUAAAAAAAUGAAAGGGGUGUAGCUUAGUGGUAGAGUGUGUACUUAGCAUGUGUGAGGUCCUGGGUUCAAUUUCCACACUCCCACCAA